rnacentral:rRNA from 1 species
GGGUUGUGAGGUUAAGCGACUAAGCGUACACGGUGGAUGCCCUGGCAGUCAGAGGCGAUGAAGGACGUGCUAAUCUGCGAUAAGCGUCGGUAAGGUGAUAUGAACCGUUAUAACCGGCGAUUUCCGAAUGGGGAAACCCAGUGUGAUUCGUCACACUAUCAUUAACUGAAUCCAUAGGUUAAUGAGGCGAACCGGGGGAACUGAAACAUCUAAGUACCCCGAGGAAAAGAAAUCAACCGAGAUUCCCCCAGUAGCGGCGAGCGAACGGGGAGCAGCCCAGAGCCUGAAUCAGUGUGUGUGUUAGUGGAAGCGUCUGGAAAGGCGCGCGAUACAGGGUGACAGCCCCGUACACAAAAAUGCACAUACUGUGAGCUCGAUGAGUAGGGCGGGACACGUGGUAUCCUGUCUGAAUAUGGGGGGACCAUCCUCCAAGGCUAAAUACUCCUGACUGACCGAUAGUGAACCAGUACCGUGAGGGAAAGGCGAAAAGAACCCCGGCGAGGGGAGUGAAAAAGAACCUGAAACCGUGUACGUACAAGCAGUGGGAGCACGCUUAGGCGUGUGACUGCGUACCUUUUGUAUAAUGGGUCAGCGACUUAUAUUCUGUAGCAAGGUUAACCGAAUAGGGGAGCCGAAGGGAAACCGAGUCUUAACUGGGCGUUAAGUUGCAGGGUAUAGACCCGAAACCCGGUGAUCUAGCCAUGGGCAGGUUGAAGGUUGGGUAACACUAACUGGAGGACCGAACCGACUAAUGUUGAAAAAUUAGCGGAUGACUUGUGGCUGGGGGUGAAAGGCCAAUCAAACCGGGAGAUAGCUGGUUCUCCCCGAAAGCUAUUUAGGUAGCGCCUCGUGAAUUCAUCUCCGGGGGUAGAGCACUGUUUCGGCAAGGGGGUCAUCCCGACUUACCAACCCGAUGCAAACUGCGAAUACCGGAGAAUGUUAUCACGGGAGACACACGGCGGGUGCUAACGUCCGUCGUGAAGAGGGAAACAACCCAGACCGCCAGCUAAGGUCCCAAAGUCAUGGUUAAGUGGGAAACGAUGUGGGAAGGCCCAGACAGCCAGGAUGUUGGCUUAGAAGCAGCCAUCAUUUAAAGAAAGCGUAAUAGCUCACUGGUCGAGUCGGCCUGCGCGGAAGAUGUAACGGGGCUAAACCAUGCACCGAAGCUGCGGCAGCGACGCUGAUGCGUUGUUGGGUAGGGGAGCGUUCUGUAAGCCUGCGAAGGUGUGCUGUGAGGCAUGCUGGAGGUAUCAGAAGUGCGAAUGCUGACAUAAGUAACGAUAAAGCGGGUGAAAAGCCCGCUCGCCGGAAGACCAAGGGUUCCUGUCCAACGUUAAUCGGGGCAGGGUGAGUCGACCCCUAAGGCGAGGCCGAAAGGCGUAGUCGAUGGGAAACAGGUUAAUAUUCCUGUACUUGGUGUUACUGCGAAGGGGGGACGGAGAAGGCUAUGUUGGCCGGGCGACGGUUGUCCCGGUUUAAGCGUGUAGGCUGGUUUUCCAGGCAAAUCCGGAAAAUCAAGGCUGAGGCGUGAUGACGAGGCACUACGGUGCUGAAGCAACAAAUGCCCUGCUUCCAGGAAAAGCCUCUAAGCAUCAGGUAACAUCAAAUCGUACCCCAAACCGACACAGGUGGUCAGGUAGAGAAUACCAAGGCGCUUGAGAGAACUCGGGUGAAGGAACUAGGCAAAAUGGUGCCGUAACUUCGGGAGAAGGCACGCUGAUAUGUAGGUGAAGUCCCUCGCGGAUGGAGCUGAAAUCAGUCGAAGAUACCAGCUGGCUGCAACUGUUUAUUAAAAACACAGCACUGUGCAAACACGAAAGUGGACGUAUACGGUGUGACGCCUGCCCGGUGCCGGAAGGUUAAUUGAUGGGGUCAGCGCAAGCGAAGCUCUUGAUCGAAGCCCCGGUAAACGGCGGCCGUAACUAUAACGGUCCUAAGGUAGCGAAAUUCCUUGUCGGGUAAGUUCCGACCUGCACGAAUGGCGUAAUGAUGGCCAGGCUGUCUCCACCCGAGACUCAGUGAAAUUGAACUCGCUGUGAAGAUGCAGUGUACCCGCGGCAAGACGGAAAGACCCCGUGAACCUUUACUAUAGCUUGACACUGAACAUUGAGCCUUGAUGUGUAGGAUAGGUGGGAGGCUUUGAAGUGUGGACGCCAGUCUGCAUGGAGCCGACCUUGAAAUACCACCCUUUAAUGUUUGAUGUUCUAACGUUGACCCGUAAUCCGGGUUGCGGACAGUGUCUGGUGGGUAGUUUGACUGGGGCGGUCUCCUCCUAAAGAGUAACGGAGGAGCACGAAGGUUGGCUAAUCCUGGUCGGACAUCAGGAGGUUAGUGCAAUGGCAUAAGCCAGCUUGACUGCGAGCGUGACGGCGCGAGCAGGUGCGAAAGCAGGUCAUAGUGAUCCGGUGGUUCUGAAUGGAAGGGCCAUCGCUCAACGGAUAAAAGGUACUCCGGGGAUAACAGGCUGAUACCGCCCAAGAGUUCAUAUCGACGGCGGUGUUUGGCACCUCGAUGUCGGCUCAUCACAUCCUGGGGCUGAAGUAGGUCCCAAGGGUAUGGCUGUUCGCCAUUUAAAGUGGUACGCGAGCUGGGUUUAGAACGUCGUGAGACAGUUCGGUCCCUAUCUGCCGUGGGCGCUGGAGAACUGAGGGGGGCUGCUCCUAGUACGAGAGGACCGGAGUGGACGCAUCACUGGUGUUCGGGUUGUCAUGCCAAUGGCACUGCCCGGUAGCUAAAUGCGGAAGAGAUAAGUGCUGAAAGCAUCUAAGCACGAAACUUGCCCCGAGAUGAGUUCUCCCUGAGACUUUAAGUCUCCUGAAGGAACGUUGAAGACGACGACGUUGAUAGGCCGGGUGUGUAAGCGCAGCGAUGCGUUGAGCUAACCGGUACUAAUGAACCGUGAGGCUUAACCUUACAACGCCGAAG